rnacentral:rRNA from 1 species
UACGUAGGAUGCAAGCGGUGUCCGGAUUUAUAGGGUUAAAAGGGUGCGUGGGCGGCCUAUUAAGUUAGUGGUGAAAACGUUCGGCUUAACCGGAUACCCGCCAUUGAUACUGAUAGACUUGAGUGCGACAGAGGGUGUUGGAAUGUGUGGUGUAGCGGUGAAAUGCUUAGAUAUCACGCAGAACACCAAUUGCGAAGGCAGAUGCCUAUGUCGUAACUGACGCUGAGGCACGAAAGCGUGGGGAGCAAACAGG